rnacentral:rRNA from 1 species
AACGAACGCUGGCGGCAGGCCUAACACAUGCAAGUCGAACGCUGUAGCAAUACAGAGUGGCAGACGGGUGAGUAACACGUGGGAAUCUUCCUAUCGGUACGGAAUAGCUCAGGGAAACUUGGGGUAAUACCGCAUACGCCCUUCGGGGGAAAGAUUUAUCGCCGAUAGAUUAGCCCGCGUCUGAUUAGCUAGUUGGUGAGGUGAUGGCUCACCAAGGCGACGAUCAGUAGCUGGUCUGAGAGGAUGACCAGCCACACUGGGACUGAGACACGGCCCAGACUCCUACGGGAGGCAGCAGUGGGGAAUAUUGGACAAUGGGCGCAAGCCUGAUCCAGCCAUGCCGCGUGAGUGACGAAGGUCUUCGGAUUGUAAAGCUCUUUUGGCGGGGACGAUAACGACGGUACCCGCAGAAUAAGCCCCGGCUAACUUCGUGCCAGCAGCCGCGGUAAUAC